AUGGGCGCCGUCGCUCCACCAAAGGGACCUCUGCUGAUAUGCUCGAACUCGACCUAUAAACUUCAGGAUUCUGCAACUAUCCUGCUUCUCAUCCACCACCAUGGUAGCCUGAGAAAACAAGCAGUAGCAGUUGGAUGCCCUCCAGAUCAGGGAACACCACAACACCAGAACGAGCUUAUUCAAGGGGAUCUUGCCAGAUCCGGCGUCUUCCACUUUCCACCACCAUGGUGGCAAGAAAGAAAACGACGGAGGCCACCACCAGACGCCGCUCGAGAGCUCCAGUGGUUUGCAUCCCCACGGCAUAACGCCAGACCACGGCAUGAAGCCAAGACAAACUAA
rnacentral:rRNA from 1 species